GACGAACGCUGGCGGCGUGCCUAAUACAUGCAAGUCGAACGGUUUAGUUCCAAGAGGCUUGCCUUUUGGAACUAGACAGUGGCGGACGGGUGAGUAACACGUAGGCAACCUACCUGUCAAACCGGGAUAACCCCGGGAAACCGAAGCUAAACCCGGAUAAGCUCCUUUUUCGCAUGAAGGGGGAGUGAAAAGGUGCGACCUGAUGACAGAUGGGCCUGCGGCGCAUUAGCUAGUAGGUAGGGUAACGGCCUACCUAGGCGAUGAUGCGUAGCCGACCAGAGAGGGCGUAGGACCACACUGGGAGUGAGAUACGGCCCAGGCUCGUACGGGAGGCAGCAGUAGGGAAGCUUCGGCAAUGGGCGAAAGCCUGACCGGGCAACACCGCGUGAGUGAGGAAGGCCUUCGGGUUGUAAAACUCUGUUGUUUGGGAAGAAGGGAAAGGGUAGGACCCUUUGGUGACGGUACCAAACGAGAAAGCCCCGGCUAACUACGUG
rnacentral:rRNA from 1 species